rnacentral:rRNA from 1 species
GACGAACGCUGGCGGCGUGCUUAACACAUGCAAGUCGAACGGAAAGGCCCUGCUUUUGUGGGGUGCUCGUGUGGCGAACGCGUGUGUAUCACGCGUGUAUCCUGCCCUUUUCUUUGGGAUAUCUUCCGGAAACUCGGGCUCUUAUCCUAUAUGAGCUCUUGCUGCAUGGUGGGGGUUGGAAAGUUUCGGCGGUUGGGGAUGGACUCGCGGCUUAUCAGCUUGUUGGUGGGGUAGUGGCUUACCAAGGCUUUGACGGGUAGCCGGCCUGAGAGGGUGACCGGCCACAAUGGGACUGAGAGACGGCCCAGACUCCUACGGGAGGCAGCAGUGGGGAAUAUUGCACAAUGGGCGGAAGCCUGAUGCAGCAACGCCGCGUGCGGGAUGACGGCCUUCGGGUUGUAAACCGCUUUCGGCUGUGACGAAGCGAGAGUGACGGUAAGGGGAAAAGAAGCACCGGCUAACUACGUG